rnacentral:lncRNA from 1 species
CUGGUAUAUAAGGCAGGAAGGUGGCUGCUGGAAUGGYUUGCUGGUGAAGGUCUGGGCUACUGCAGGAGGUGCUCUGGGGUGGAUGGGCUGCUGUAUGAAGAGGACUGCUCAGCUGUAUGGAGAUGGUGGUCAAGUCAAAGCAGGUCCAAGAAUCUGCCCCGGGUGGUGCUCCCUGAUGCGGGGGGCCUUCCACAGCGAGGGAGAGCGAUAGCUCCCCAUGAAGCAGAGACUUGCCCCUUUCUGCUCCAACAGAGCUACAGGGAUGGAUUUUCCAAAGAAUUCAGUUCCUGUUUGGAUUCAGGCUUCACUGUGGAUGAAA